rnacentral:miRNA from 1 species
GCAGACACAUUCCAGCCAAUCAGCAGCAGACCCUCCCUCCCAGGUCCUCCCACCUCCUGGACAGCAUCCAUUUUACAUUCAUUGUGAAGCUGCAUUCUUAGUGAGCUGUCCAGGAGGUGGGAGGGUCUGGGAGGGAGGGUCUGCUGCUGAUUGGCUGGAAUGUGUCUG